rnacentral:rRNA from 1 species
CAGUAGCGUAUAUUAAAUUUGUUGCAGUUAAAAAGCUCGUAGUUGAGGUUCUGUGGGGCGGGCGAGUCGGCAUCUGCCUUCUUACCUUCUCCACAUCCGCCUGAGCAGCGGCAGUGGCAUUGAUUUGUUGUUGUCGUGAUCAGGCCUUUUACCUUGAGCAAAUUAGAGUGUUCCAGGCAGGCUCUCGCCUGAAUAGUCCAGCAUGGAAUAAUACAAUAGGACUGUGUCCCAUUUUUUGGUGUUAUGGUACGCAGUAAUGAUUAAUAGGGACAGUUGGGGGCAUUCGUAUUCAAUUGUCAGAGGUGAAAUUCUAUGAUUUAUUGAAGACGAACCUAUGCGAAAGCAUUUGCCAAGGAUGUUUUCAUUAAUCAAGAACGAAAGUUAAGGGAUCAAAGAUGAUUAGAUACCAU